ensembl:lncRNA
GGCUGCUCCGUACGCGGUGGGCGCUGCUGACAAAGCGCGUUACCGAACGGCGCCGUGCCGUGCGAACCGAACCGCGGCAGCGGCACAGGCACUGCAAAGCACAAAGCGGGGCGGUGGAGUUACACUGCCGCUGUGGGAAACGCGGCGGUAACGGGCGGACAGAUGGGGUUUCCCGACCCAAAUACCGCACGCAGCGUUCAUCCCAGUUGUCCGAGAUUAGAAGAAAAUCCCCGUCGUGACCUUUUCUCCAUAUAUGAAAGGGGAUAAAAGUUUAUCUUUUGUACCCUUUUACUUAACUGCUGAGCCCUGAGAUGUCAGUAUGUGCUCUCUAUCCCAGGGAUGACUUUGUUUUUUGCAGAGUUGAAUGGCUCUGUUUCGAUGUGAAUGCGUUCAGUGGUAAUCGGGUCCUUUCCCCCCCUAAAAAACGAGAUCUUUAGAGGGAACGCAGCCCUGUGAAACAAAGGGUGAGCAAGGGAACGCCCGCAGACUUGGAUCAGAACAAGGACCUGGUGAUCCACGGGGAGAAUAACUGCCAGCAAACUACCAGCCCUUAAAAAGAGCUACAAAAGCAUUUCUGUAAAGGCCUGAAUACCCAACUGCUCCGUUCCCAGUCCCUGGCAGCAGCCUGCAGCAUGCACUUGUGCGUGCAAUACUAUGGAACUUCCCUGGCUCAUCACUUUGUUUCUUGUGGGCUCUAAUUAGUCAGUAAUGACUUGGGUUAGAGCAGUUGCUAUAAAUUAGCGGCUGGCUAGGAGGAGUUGGGACUGCCAUAUUGGCUACCAUGUUAAUAACACCAGCUGGCUCCUGAAUUCCUGAACAACAUUUUAAAUCAAGUUUGCACAGCACUGAGAUAAAGGUUCGGUUAAACACUUUUGGAACGUUUAACUUAGAAGCAUAGAAUCAUAGGAUCACCGUGGUUGGAAAAGAGCACCAAAACAUGCAGUCCAACCAUCCACCAGUGUUUUCCCACAAAACUACGUCCCUUAGUUACAACAGCUUUAUCGUUUCUGUAGCUUACUUUUUGUCAAGCUAAGCAUGAGAGUAUUUACCUCAUUUUCAGGUAUACGCUGCAAUCACAAUGAAUUGCUGACUGGGGAGCUAUUCACCUUAUAGUAAUAGCUACAAGAAACUGGAUGAGCUAGCAGCUCUUCAGUUGCAUUCACUGUUCAUCGCCUGCAUGCCUAGCUGUGGGUACCAGCAGGAUGCCUGUGGAUGUUAGGAACGCUGAUUGCACGAACUGGUGUAGCCAGGCCUGACCCAUUUGCAGCUCUCCUGGACAAGCUCAGUUAUUUCCUUCUGUUCAGCUGCCACCAUGCAAGCUGGUUAUUUAAAAGGCAGCCAUCUGAGAAAGGGGAGACUAUUCGUCAUCGGGCAGGAAACUGUUUGCUGAAGCCUUUUCUUUUUCUUCUAUAGGCCUCACUUUAAAUUAAUAAUUUAUUUUCUUUUCCAAUCCUGAACUGAAUAUGGACCACUUCCUUUUUAGACUGGCUGUCAGGGUCUUCAGCGGUAUUAAUCCAGGAAACUCUUAGAAGACGUGGCUCCACUUCCGUGGGCUACUCAGCAUCCCUAUAAUCUGUCUUACCACUGUUUAUCUGGGGACACAUACAAGCAAGUUUGAUGACUAUAACGUGAAGUCAUAAAUCCAGGAGUUCUGUUACUAUGGUUUGGUGCCAGCUGAGGAAGUUGGCAGCUCGGGUUAUCUGACCCAGAAACAGAGAAUGCUGGAAGCUGGUGGCUGCCCCUGUCCCCAGGAUGGAUCUCAAGCACUGAGAGGUAUAACUCAGACUGCUACCACUCCCUCAGCAAGACAGCAGGCCACCUGAAGUUUUAACCCAUCUUUGCUUAUCCUUUCAACACUGCACACCUCCUGCAGAUUAGACUCCAAGCUUUCAGCUUUAAGUGGGACACAUACAGCUCUCCUUAACUGUGACUGGGUUUGAAGUGUCAUCUCAGUCUUCUCCUUGGAAAGUAAAAUAUACGUUGGCUACAAUAGAUCUGGUAAGAUAGUUUAAAUGAUUACUUGACUUUGAGAGAAUAAAAGGUAGAAAUACUAAAUAGCCAUAAUGAAAUUGUUUUAAUCUUCCCAGGAGUGUAUGUGCAGUAAUGUUUUGGAACUGCAAAAAUUCAUAUUUUUAACAGUAUGCCUACAUACAGAGAGAACAAUCUUGUGUUUCUGCAGCUCCAUCCUCUCAAACACACGCACCAGUAUUUAAACGCGUGCGUGUGGCAAACAGGUAUAGGACCAGAGAGAUUAUCACGUUACAAAGGAGUAAUGAAAUAAAGAUCUCACCCGUGUCCUGGGCUCACAGAAGGGCUCCAAGGGGAGUGAUCUCCAGAUAGAGACCCUUCCUCCUUGGGAGUCAGCCCUUACAUGGGGUCUCUGUGGGAUGCAGCCAGGCUCCACCCCUUCCGGUCACUCAGGUGAAAUUGCCAUCACCUGUGCCCCUGCAGCUGACUCAGCGCUCGCCUCAGGUGGUCAAUCAGAGGUUCAGGCCGUGAUUCAACAGUUCCCAUACAGUGGACCACCACACUUGAAAGAACAGAUUUAGAGAUUAACCCCUAUAAUUGAAGUGUACUGUUUGUUCUUGUACAGGCAAAGUAUCCCUGUCCCAUUUAUACUGCAUCUCCUCCGACACCACAUCAAAGAUUCUACACUGAGGACACUGAAAUUACAAAAAUAUCUGUAUGCAGACCCCAGUUCUGCAGGUUCUGCAGUAUUGUUUCCUGAUUUGUUCUUUUUUUUUUUUUUUAAUUUAAUUUCCUAUGCAUGUUGAAAAAUGAAGGAGGGUAUCAGGAACACACAGCGAGGCCUCAAGUCUGCAGGCAGACUGCUUGGUAGCAUAACCAUCUGCUUACUGCCUCGUUUACCUUAUCAGAGUUUGUCAAAAGAUUUCUCAUCAGUCCUGCCCACACUGAACUAAGGGAGGGGACUGCCUUUUGAGACGAAUGUAAACAACCCACUCAUCUUCAGUUGAAACAAGAGACAGCGGUUUUCUCUUCCUCUUGUGCAUAAGCAAAGGAAGGAGGUGGCAAAGAGAGCUCUCGCUGCUGCUUUCCCCUAUGGAUCUGCACUGCCAGGUUGCUACACCUUUGCAUGACCUCACAAAACUUCAGAUUAAGGCAAAAUAGAAAGCAAGUGUGGAUGCUUGGGUCGAUUUAGUAGGACUGUGGCCAUUGGACAUUGGAAGAUAGUGAGGACAGUCACCUUGCUGGUUCUUACGCUUGUGCUCAGAGAAAUCUGUUACCCUAUCAAACCAAGGCUACUGGAACAGGUGGGACAACACCACAAAGAGUAAGGGCACAGAGGGGUUGAGGCUGGCUAGGAAUUCCCAAAGUAUGUCUAGGAAUUCCCAAAGAUCCCAGAAACUACACUAGACUAAGCUGCUUUCAGUUUCACAGGAGUGGAAACAAGGGGAAGUCCUCUGCGGCGUGAAAAUUAAAGUGGAAAUUCCAGAAUAGUUCAAGAUUUCAUAUCUUUGAGUGACCAAAAUUCCUGUCAACGUUAAGGUAACUUUCCGAGUAAGAACCGUAAGUCACCUCAGAAUGAGUGUAUUUGGAGUGAAAACUGAAGAAUAAAGCAGAAGGGACUCAGGGGGAGUGGCUGCUGUCCAUUUUAUUUAUUUGUUUUAAAACAGGCAUUUUACAACUUCGCCUAACUGUACCAACUGGCAAGAAAUAGGUAUCAAAAUGGCAGUCAGAGAAGAUUUUGUAAGGGUAUCUGCAAUGCAGAACAGUCCUCUGCAUCAGCCUCAAUAUGAAUGCGUAAGGCUUUCCAUGGGGCACAAUGCUAAUUGCAGAAAAAUGAUAUUUACCAUUUCCAGACAUCUGCAGGUAACACAUCCAGAUCCAUCUGAUUCUCUUUUAGUCACAUGGAUACUGAAUCCAUUAUUUUCUACUGAAUUACAAUUAGAUUUUUUUAAAUGCACUGCAUUUAAAGAAAAUCAAGGGAAUUUAAUGCCGUAAGUUGACAGGGAUAGAGCUGCAAAAUUAGAGCCAGAUUUAAUGUCAGCUUUAACUCACUGAACAGCACCUUGGACUAUUUAUUUUAUCCUUUUAAGUAUCAAUUUACUUAAGCUAUGUUGGUAUUUAAACUGCAAAGCAGUUGGUGGAAGCAUUGUAUUUAAUAUUGUUCAUCCGCAGAGAGAGGCACUCAGGACUUUUUGUUCCUGUUCAUUUGGUUGGACUGGCAGGAAGGAUGUUACUGUGGCAAGUCAGCUGGUCUGAUCAGAAAUAGCAACACAUCUUUCUGGAUUUUAAAAUUGCAUUACCAUUCGUAGGUAUUUCGUAGGCUUAGACAGCUAACAAAAAUUACCUUAAAAUCCAGUUGAACGUAGAAUUAUAUUAAUUCAGGUCUUUUUGUUGUUUAGCCAAUAAAACCUUUAUCUGCAAACGUUUAGACUUUACCUACGAGAACGUCUACUGGUGUCAUCUACGUUCUCUUUGCUAUUCACUACACACAGCAAAUACUUUAAAAAACAAAAACAAAAAACAAGCCUUAAGCACUAUGGCAAGAAGAGCGGUGAUCUAGGACAAUAGCUUUGGUGCUAACUUCUGUUGUGGCCAGUGGAGUGAGACAGAGCAAAAGCUCUUGCUGACAUGCCUUCUGUCAAAGAAGUUCCUGCCAGUGCAAAGCGGUGUUUCUUCUGAACUGGGUCAGGAAGAUGAAUUAUAGGGCAUGCUCUGCAUCCCCUCUGAGAAGCAGCAAAGUGCAGCCCAGUCUCAUAAUUGUUAGCAAUUACCGCUAGCAUAUAAAGAUAGGUAGCUAGAAAAGCAAGACAACAUAAUUAUAUCAACAGCUUACGCCAUUUUAGAUCCCUAACGCACAGAAACAUUGGGCUGAUUUUCUUCUCUAGUGUUUUCCUUCCAUAUAGAGCACUCUCGCCACUCAGCUUAACAAAACAGAAGGGGUUUUGUACCCCCUGUGAAAGACUUAUUUACCUCUUCAAAAUCCAUUUACCUCAGUUUCAUUUUAUUAUGACAUCGUUUACUUUGCUUCGUCCAGCACCACGUUACUGGUAAUUGCCUUCCCACCCUCUGCCUUGGACUCUUGCUGGUGCCUCCUUUCUUUCAUCCAUAUUUUUGCAGCCACAGUGUCACUUGACCCCUCCAGCUUGGGCAAUGCUGGCGUGAAACCCAUAUUUAUCAGCUCAGCAGAAGUUAUUAGCUCCAUCUCACGCAGAGCCCUGGGUCACCUUUCAUGUUAGCAUGUCUCAUUAGAGAGGCAUUCCUCAUCAGCUGAAACUGGUGUACAGGAUCUUCCCAAGGAAGAUUCUUCUUGAGUGCCUGAUAUACCUACAGAACUCUCCAUAUUUCUAGGUCUUCUGACUGCGAUGAGCUCUCUGCUGGAGCCGAAGCCUCCAUCCCCAGGCAGUGCGUGCGCAGCGCGGAGCAGACAGCAGCUGGCGGAACAGCAGAAGCUGCUGCAGAGGGCACAAGUACUAAUAGUGCAAAUAGCAUACAAGUAACCUCUGACACAGGAAUUAUUAGCACCCGAACCCUUGAUACUCUAUCCAAUUUACCCAUAGCUUCCAUUAAAAAUGACUGACGUGCCUCCAGCUUGUGAAGCUUUUUUUUUUUUAAUACACAUUUCAGAGCUGAUCCUUCUACACCAAGUGGAUGUGCACUUUUGCAAAUGAUUCGAGCUGACUUGACUUCAGCACUGUUCUGCUCUAGUCUCAGAUCUUUUGCUCCAUCUAGUUCUUUCUUUCACUGCCUCUGUCUUCCUUGAUACAGCUAAGAGGAAGCAAAUAGCAGUGGAGUAUUAGAAUUGCUACAGUUCUCUUUAUAGCGGCACAAACCGUGCUUAAGAAAUUAGUCAGGCAUUCAGAGACCGCUAAUCCUUUUUGUAAGGAAUACAAGGCUUGGUUCUUCGAAGGAAUUCCUCACUCCAGGGCCCAGGAUGUAGUUCAGUUCUAUCUAUUAAAUCCUCUUGCAGCAAGACAAUCAUACAAAAGUAAAAACGGGGGUUAAAUGUGACUUUGUUUUCUUACUGCCAUCUUUUUCUUGCCUUGCUUUCUGAUGCCAGUGUUAUAUCAUCAUAUUUAUAUGCUUCCUCUUUGAAGACCUAAUAAUUAGCCCAGUGCUUAAUAACAAUACAGAAAUCCAGCUGUUCCUCCAGAAGGAAUAAGAGAAAUUUAGUAGCAUACGGGUUUAGAGAUAAAUUGCAGUUCAUUUAAUUAUCGUGGGUUUGGGAAACUGAGAAGAUAGCAGACAGGAAGCUCUCUGUAAAUUACCAGAUGGAAUCUCCCGAGAAUUAUCACAUUUGUCACUCUUAGAAUGAAUCUGCUCAAUUUACGUAUCGUAGUCCAUAACAGCAGGAAAUCCAUGACGGGCUGUACAGUGACAGUUGAUUUUACUCAUGUGAAUUUGACACACACACACAAAUAGUAGCUGCAGAAGAAAUAAGAAUGGCAGUGAAACAGGUAAACCAAGCAAAUUUCUGAAUAAACAAACCUUUGUGUUUACUACAGUCCUAUUUUAAGUGAAAGUUAAAAUGCUGGCUGUAGACAUCAAAAAUCCAGUUUUACUUUAUACUAAAAUUAUAGAAUUGAAGACCCUUUACCUUCUAUAGCAUUUUAACUGGAUUUGAAAAUCAUUAAGGAGGCUUUUAAGCUUUCUUGUCAAUAGACUGCAAAAGAAAAAGAUGAAACUGCACCGUGUAUAUCGUGCUUGAACCAAUGGUGCCCUCUGGAGGAGAUUCUUUUAUGUGCAGAGGAGUAGACAAAUCGCUCAUUCACGAGGUAAACUGAAGACACGGGCCCAAUAAGUGACACACAUUCACAGUGUUUCUGCUCAGCUACCUGCAUGCAAACAAACCUUUUUGCUCCCAAACCUGUCUGUAAUUUUGCCUAUACCUAGACGUGCAUUGUUGAACCCACCUAUAGGACAAACUCUGCAAUUUUGUAUUGAGGAUGAUACUUGUAGGACCAUUAGUGUAGCCAAGAUGCUCAAACUGAAACCUCUGCACUCUCAAAAUUCUGAGGAAAUGCCUUUACAGUUUCCAUAUGUCUUGCACUUUGGCCUGCUAGUGCUGAGACACUCACCUCACCCCAGGCAUACAUACAGCUGCCUGCAAACCCCAAGUAUGCUGCAACUCAAGAAGUUCUGUCCAGACUGGAAACCAAUAGACUGGUUAUACCAUUGGCAGCACAGGCACAGUGACUACGGAUUCAUCAGCUGAGAGCCCCUGGUAUGUUGCACAGCCUACACUGCUCUUGCUAGAUUUCUACUCCUAUCUGAGCAGACUAAUUUAAACACAUCUCCCUAA